rnacentral:rRNA from 1 species
GUGUCAGCCGCCGCGGUAAGACGGAGGGUGCAAACGUUGUUCGGAUUCACUGGGCAUAAAGCGCACGUAGGCGGCUCGUUUAGUCAGUUGUGAAAUCCCCCGGCUCAACCGGGGAAUGGCAUCUGAUACUGGCGGGCUCGAGGUCGGUAGGGGUGAGCGGAACUCCAGGUGGAGCGGUGAAAUGCGUAGAUAUCUGGAGGAACACCGGUGGCGAAAGCGGCUCACUAGGCCGACACUGACGCUAAGGUGCGAAAGCUAGGGUAGCAAACGGGAUUAGAAACCCCCGUAGUCC